AGUGUUCAUAAUUUUUUUGUUAGCAUACUCAAAUACCCAGUUUCUGGAAUGGUUCAAGAUGUUCAAGAUGACUCUUAAGUAUGACAAUUUAACAAGGUUAGGUUGAACAUAAUGUCUUUUAAUUCUGUAAAAGUAAAGACUCACUUCAGCAGGAAUCAAACAUCCUGUCUCUGUGUGUGUGUCUCUUCAGAGUCAUAUACUGUAUAACAAUGUCCUCAUAGGUAUGUCUCCACGCUAAUGUCCACAUUAAUCAGCAGUGCCUCCGUUAUAUUGUGUAUAUACAAAACCUCACAAGAAAGGUAGGGCAGAAACUGUUAAUGGAUGACAUAUGUAUAAAAAAAGAUAUUGCAUGAUUUUCUGGCCCUUUGAGUGCAUGAGUCAUGGCCGUAUGCUUUCAAAUCAACCCUCACUGAGGAUAAAUCUGACCUCUAUGACCAUACAUUUCCAAAAGAAAAAGAAACAAUCAUGUGCAAUGAUAUAGCUUCCUGAAUAAGCCAGUUGAAUAUGCUAUAGGUAGCAUGUAAAGACAUGAACUUAAACUCUAAGCCAUUAACAGUCUUCUCCAACAACCACUUGUUUCAAGACACUCUAACAAUUAUAAAACACAUAAUAGUUUGUGUGAGAUGGCGAAAAUGUGCCCUCACAGAAAAAAAAGGUAUUGGGGUGGUAUACACCUUUGUACCUUACUUACCCCUAAAGAGUGCAUAGUAGUACCUUAUAAGAGCAUAUUAAUACUUAGUGGUACAUAUUAAUUUUGAAAGAGUACCACCCCAGUGACAACUUUUGUACCUUUUUUUCUGAGAGUGUAUGAUGUCCUAUAACUUGGUUUAUAUAGAAUCUUUUAACCUUUAUAGGUGAUUUUGCCUUCUCAU